UACGUAGGGUGCGAGCGUUGUCCGGAAUUAUUGGGCGUAAAGGGCUCGUAGGCGGUUUGUCGCGUCGGGAGUGAAAUCCACUGGCUUAACUGGUGGCUUGCUUUCGAUACGGGCAGACUGGAGGUAUGCAGGGGAGAACGGAAUUCCUGGUGUAGCGGUGAAAUGCGCAGAUAUCAGGAGGAACACCGGUGGCGAAGGCGGAUCUCUGGGCCUUACCUGACGCUGAGGCGCGAAAGCUAGGGGAGCAAACAGG
rnacentral:rRNA from 1 species